AGUGAUAAGAACAAGCUGGCAGUUUUUUUUCUAAAAGAUAUAUAGAGGCCUCUUUUAGAACAGCUGAGAAAAGCAAAUUGUGAAGCUUUGCUCAACUGAUUAAGAGAAUUUCUUCAGUUACAGGCCUUUGUUUGAAACAUUUUAUGGAGGAAUCAAGGAGAGUAUCAUUCACUUUUAAUAAUACUUUGGUUCCAUCUAUCUUUAAUAGGAGAUUGAAUGCAGUAAAAGUUGAAGCGAAAGCUGGGAAGGUGCAGAAACCAGGGAAGUCUGUAGAGAACCAUACCUCUGAAGUUCCUAAAAGUCCAAAUCAAGCUCUUGAAUUUCUCUGUCGAAGCUGGAGCCCCGCAUCAUCUGAGUUCUUUGAUCUACUCUCAUCACAAGUAAGAAGAGAAUAAACUAUGGAAGUUUCCUUUAUAUUUCAGCAAAGUUUUACAAGUUACUGUUUAUUCAAUACAAGAAUACUGACACUUGGGACUAAUCUUUGGGUUGUUUAUCCUUGAUCGAUGUAAAUUCAUGUGUUUAUUCUUAUUACUCACGUGCUUAGUUAUGUGCUUCCGUUUUUAUAUAUUAUCUGAAAUACAGAAAUAGAACCUUAUAAGUAAAAUUAAAAAAAAAAUGGACCCUGUCGAUUGUAAAUAUUUGAAUGUUUUUUAAUGACAGAAACUUCUGCUUGUCUAGAAAAAUUAUUAGUGUUGGGGCUUCCAUAGCUCAGAAGCAUGCAUUCCUGCACAGAAUUAAUUAACUCUAAAACCUAAGCUUUGAAGGUGAGACACUAGGCUCAAGAAAGAUGGUGAAGGUCAUGUCAUUAGGCGGUGGUAGAUGCGUGGCUGAAAGUUGCUUAUUCUGUGCAAACACGGAACGGUUCUUCUGUCUGGUUCUGCGCUCAGAUACUAAGUAGUACCAAGGUGUAUUUCUUUGGAUAUCAUGGCACUUUUUUAUUGGUCUCUGGACGGUCCAGACUCUGCACAGAAUAAAAAUUCGGCUCAAAGGCUCUAAGGUGGGAUUAAUUAUUAUGUGCGAACGCCGUCAAGAAACUAAUCAGAAUACGCCACGUCAUCCCUUGCUGGCUAACGCGGAUCGGUACUGCUCAGUACCGCAGCUCAGUACUACUGACGUGGUGUCCGGACGACGUUUUGCAUCCGAUCUCCACACAUAAUAAUUUCUCCUAAGGUGGUGGAGCACUGGCAGUGAGGGGAGGUGAAAGAGCUUAUAAAAUGGCUGAAAGAGAAUUUUUAAGGGUAAAAAGUUCAUAUUAUGGAUGUUGGGAUCCAUUUUAAAUUUCAAGGGGUGGAGCAACUUAUGAUUCUUCCAUUGCAAGUGGAGUCUCUUGUGCCCAAAAGGUGAGAUCUGCUAUAAAAGAAAUUAUUAUGUGCUGAUAGCGGACAUAAAGGUGCAUCUGUUGGCCAACUAAAAAAUGACCCAUGACUGCAAAAAAUAUUUCCCAUUUUCCAUCUUAGAAAAGGAGUCAAUGAAAGAAUUACUCAGUGCGGACUUCGGACAGCAUCCGGAGACCAAUCAGAAUGAGCCAUGUCACUUUUUUGCUUGGUACCGGUGGUCGGUAUUGCUGUGUACUGGAUGACGUGGCGCAUUCUGAUUGGUCUCCGGACCGUCCGGUGUCCGCACAGAAUAA